rnacentral:misc_RNA from 1 species
UCCUCCUUACAGAGGCAGUUUGUUCCGAGUUCCCGACUUUACUCGCUGGCAACAGAACAUGAGGGUUGCGCUCGUUGCGGGACUUAACCCAACAUUUCACAACACGAGCUGACGACAGCCAUGCACCACCUGUAUAGCACCCUCGAAGGCGACUCCGUUUCGGGAGCUUGCAGCUAUAUGUCAAGCCCUGGUAAGGUUCUUCGCGUUGCAUCGAAUUAAGCCACAUGCUCCACCGCUUGUGCGGGCCCCCGCCAAUUCCUUUGAGUUUUAGCCUUGCGGCCGUACUCCCCAGGCGGAGUGUUUCACGCGUUAGCUGGGCCCCUGAUCCACGUAGACCAAGGGCGAACACUCAUCGUUUACGGCAUGGACUAC